AAUCGGAAUGAGAGGAGGAAAAAGAAGGAAGCGGCACUUUUUGAACCACAAUGUAAAUUUGUGUGACAUUUGUACGGAUAGAAGAUGGGUCAAACUUGGGGAGGUUCACGGGUUCUCUCUUCUCCUUCUUUUUCCCCUUUUCUUCCUCAGCUUCUUCUUUUUCCUCAUCGUUGCC
rnacentral:ribozyme from 13 species